rnacentral:tRNA from 1 species
GGCAUCGUUGUGCAACAAAAUUGAUUAACGCGUCUGCUUACAUUGCCGAAGGCGCUGGUUCGAAUCCAGCCGGUACCC